ACAAAACUAGAAGGUAAAAGACGAUAUAAAAAGAAAAUAUACUCAAAACAUGUGAUGACCCAAAAGCUCAUCUCUUGUGUUGCAAGUAAAUUCCGUAUUCUGAGGUCUAAAAACCUCAUUUUGCCUCACCUCAAUUUGCAUGCGUAGUCUGGACCUAUAUACAGGAAGCUUUCUAUGUGAAAAUAUGAGAAAUAAAAAAUUCCGGAGUUAGAAUUUUAUUAUGGUUGACUUUGGUCAACAUUUUUGACAAACGAACCCGGAUCUGUGUUUUGACGAUCUCGGGAGGUCUGCAGUAAAAUAUGGAACUUGGGC
rnacentral:lncRNA from 1 species